ACUCCUACGGGAGGCAGCAGUAAGGAAUAUUGGGCAAUGGCCGCAAGGCUGACCCAGCCAUGCCGCGUGCAGGAAGACGGCCUUAUGGGUUGUAAACUGCUUUUGUCAGGGAGUAAAUCCUUAUACGUGUAUAAGGUUGAAAGUACCUGAAGAAUUAGCAUCGGCUAACUCCGUGCCAGCAGCCGCGGUAAU
rnacentral:rRNA from 1 species